rnacentral:rRNA from 1 species
CUCGUAGGCGAUUUGUCACGUCGGGAGUGAAAACUCAGGGCUUAACCCUGAGCCUGCUUCCGAUACGGGCAGACUAGAGGUAUGCAGGGGAGAACGGAAUUCCUGGUGUAGCGGUGAAAUGCGCAGAUAUCAGGAGGAACACCGGUGGCGAAGGCGGUUCUCUGGGCAUUACCUGACGCUGAGGAGCGAAAGUGUGGGGAGCGAACA